CUCUCAUAUACCCCGCGCCUUUGGACGCCAGUAAUUUCUCCUUUGAUGAUGGGAGCUGGAGACCAUGCCAUGAUGUGAAUUGUGAAGCACCUCUAGGAGCACCGCGCAGAUCGGCGCAACUAAUACACCGAAGAAACCAUACUCCGUCCGCCAUCUCGUCUCGCCUUCUGCGGGGGCGCGAGAGAUCAAGUGGCGGUGAUGGUAGCAUCGGCGAGCGCGGAGGUGAUGUACCAGUUUUGCCUCUGCACCAGUUCUUUUCCUUGGUCCUCUCUCCUGGAACGGCGCGGCUGCGGCGACGACGACGUUACAACGCGGCGCGACUGGUCCAGGGAGCAUGGGAAGGCAGACUUAAGGGGCGUAGGGAUUGAGAUUCUGAGAACGCGGCAUACAUCUGUAUAGCCGUGGCUCCCCGCCGUACCCGUCCCCACUGGAUCACCUCCUCAUCGCGCAACUCCCCGCCAAUCUGCGACGCCGCGACCUUAGCUUAUAUCUUUGUCUCAGUCUUUUGGUCUUCAGCUCCCAGGUCCAAAGCAAGCAGGUUCCAUGGCGAGUAGGGCAGCCGCAGUCUAUCUUAAUCCAGGCAUCGACGAUGCCUCAAGCCUUCAACCAUGCCGAUGAAACCUGAAGCCUCAUGUGCUUGUUUGCGCUUUCUGUUUGGCAUCAGGUACAGAUUGUUUAUGGAAAAGGGGGUAGAUAAACAUGUUUUGUAAAUGGUUCAUAUUAUUACCUCCCAUCUUUUUCUUUACAUUUAUUGCUGAAUGAUGGGACUUGUAAAAAUUUAAAUGUAAAGAUAUCUUAUUUCGUGAAAAAACAUCAUGUCAUUCAGAUAA